UACAGAGGUCCCAAGCGUUGUUCGGAUUCACUGGGCGUAAAGGGUGCGUAGGUGGCGAGGUAAGUUUGAUGUGAAAUCUCCGAGCUUAACUCGGAAAUGGCAUUGAACACUAUCUUGCUUGAGGGUUGGAGGGGGGACUGGAAUUCUCGGUGUAGCAGUGAAAUGCGUAGAUAUCUGCAGGAACACCCGUGGCGAAAGCGGCGCGCUGGACCACUACUGACGCUGAGGAACGAAAGCUAGGGGAGCAAACAGG
rnacentral:rRNA from 1 species